GAUGAAGAACGCAGCGAAAUGCGAUAAGUAAUGUGAAUUGCAGAAUCCAGUGAAUCAUCGAAUCUUUGAACGCACAUUGCGCCCGCCAGCAUUCUGGCGGGCAUGCCUGUUCGAGCGUCAUUUCAACCCUCGACCUCCCCUUGGGGAGGUCGGCGUUGGGGACCGGCAGCACACCGCCGGCCCUGAAAUGGAGUGGCGGCCCGUCCGCGGCGACCUCUGCGUAGUAAUACAGCUCGCACCGGAACCCCGACGCGGCCACGCCGUAAAACACCCAACUUCUGAACGUUGACCUCGAAUCAGGUAGGACUACCCGCUGAACUUAAGCAUAUCAAUAAGAGGAGGA
rnacentral:misc_RNA from 1 species